GACGAACGCUGGCGGCGUGCUUAACACAUGCAAGUCGAACGGAAAGGCCCUGCUUUUGUGGGGUGCUCGAGUGGCGAACGGGUGAGUAACACGUGAGUAACCUGCCCUUGACUUUGGGAUAACUUCAGGAAACUGGGGCUAAUACCGGAUAGGAGCUCCUGCUGCAUGGUGGGGGUUGGAACGUUUCGGCGGUUGGGGAUGGACUCGCGGCUUAUCAGCUUGUUGGUGGGGUGGUGGCUUACCAAGGCUUUGACGGGUAGUCGGCCUGAGUGGGUGACCGGCCACAUUGGGACUGAGGUGCGGCCCAGACUCCUACGGGAGGCAGCAGUGGGGAAUAUUGCACAAUGGGCGGAAGCCUGAUGCAGCAACGCCGCGUGCGGGAUGACGGCCUUCGGGUUGUAAACCGCUUUCGCCUGUGACGAAGCGUGAGUGACGGUAAUGGGUAAAGAAGCACCGGCUAACUACGUG
rnacentral:rRNA from 1 species